rnacentral:rRNA from 1 species
CCAGACUCCUACGGGAGGCAGCAGUGGGGAAUAUUGCACAAUGGGGGAAACCCUGAUGCAGCGACGCCGCGUGAGUGAAGAAGUAUUUCGGUAUGUAAAGCUCUAUCAGCAGGGAAGAAAAUGACGGUACCUGAUUAAGAAGCCCCGGCUAACUACGUGCCAGCAGCCGCGGUAAUACGUAGGGGGCAAGCGUUAUCCGGAUUUACUGGGUGUAAAGGGAGCGUAGACGGUGAUGCAAGUCAGAAGUGAAAGCCCGGGGCUCAACUCCGGGACUGCUUUUGAAACUGUGUGACUGGAGUGCAGGAGAGGUAAGCGGAAUUCCUGGUGUAGCGGUGAAAUGCGUAGAUAUCAGGAGGAACACCAGUGGCGAAGGCGGCUUACUGGACUGUAACUGACGUUGAGGCUCGAAAGCGUGGGGAGCAAACAGGAUUAGAUACCCGAGUA